rnacentral:rRNA from 1 species
UAAGCGGAGGAAAAGAAACUAACAAGGAUUCACCCUAGUAACGGCGAGUGAAGCGGGAAGAGCUCAAAUUUGAAAUCUGGUGGCCUCAGGUCAUCCGAGUUGUAAUCUAUAGAAGUGUUUUCCGUGCUGGCUCAUGUACAAGUCCCUUGGAACAGGGCGUCAUAGAGGGUGAGAAUCCCGUCCUUGACAUGAACUACCAGUGCUCUGUGAUACAUUUUAAUCCAACGAGUCGAGUUGUUUGGGAAUGCAGCUCAAAAUGGGUGGUAAAUUCCAUCUAAAGCUAAAUAUUGGCGAGAGACCGAUAGCGAACAAGUACCGUGAGGGAAAGAUGAAAAGCACUUUGGAAAGAGAGUUAAACAGUAUGAGAAAUUGUUGAAAGGGAAACGAUUGAAGUCAGUCGUGCUCUUUGGAUUCAGCCGGUUCUGCCGGUGUACUUCCUUUGAGUGGGGUCAACAUCAGUUUUGAUCGCUGGAUAAAGGCUGGAGGAACGUAGUACCCUCGGGUAAACUUAUAGCCUCCUGUCACAUACAGUGGUUGGGACUGAGGAACGCAGCACGCCUUUAUGGCCGGGAUUCGUCCACGUACGUGCUUAGGAUG